UACGUAGGGUGCGAGCGUUAAUCGGAAUUACUGGGCGUAAAGCGUGCGCAGGCGGUUUUGUAAGCCAGAUGUGAAAUCCCCGGGCUUAACCUGGGAAUGGCAUUUGGGACUGCAAGGCUGGAGUGUGGCAGAGGAGACUGGAAUUCCCGGUGUAGCAGUGAAAUGCGUAGAUAUCGGGAGGAAUACCGAUGGCGAAGGCAGGUCUCUGGGCUGACACUGACGCUCAUGCACGAAAGCCAGGGGAGCGAACGGG
rnacentral:rRNA from 1 species